CGGGACACACCUCAUGGUCACCAAAUGCGGGUCAAAACGUCUUGCUAUAACAAUCUUCCUAAUGAAAAGGAAUUUAAAAAAAAACUAUUGCAUGCAUUUAAAUAAGAAAACAUUGUUCCAUUCAGAUAUCAUCUAAACAUUGGUCCCAAACACCUAUACCACAGCAGACUGCAGUCCAAUAAUCCAGUAGCCUUGAUAAUAGGUCCGAGCUUGCUGAAAUCAAAGAGCAAAUGAAUCAGAUAAUGAAAAUCAUCCAGGAUAUGCAAAAGGCUCGAGACUCAGAAGAAGACACCACUACUCUAGGCGCCAAACAAAAAAAAUCUCUAAAAAGGGUGGCUCCGAAGAUAGUUAUUAGGGCCAACCGUUGUAGGGAUGUUGCCAUAAGGUACGAAGAUACAACUGAUGAUCCAGAGGAACAACAAUCAACUCAGAAAGACUCCGGUGAGCAAGACGAAGAUCCUACUUAUGAUCUUUCUCCUAAGGGCAAGUCGACAAGCUAUAAAACAGAAAUUAAGAUAAACAGGGGUACCCCAUAUGACUUCUCAAGCCAAUAGAAGGCAUAGCUGGAGCUUAUAAAAUAGAGACUAAGGGCUAUUGAGGGAACAAACUUUCCUCAUGUAAAAAAUGUAUUUGAGAUUUUCCUCGUGGUAGAUGUAGUGUUUCCACCCAAAUUUAAAACUCCUAAGUUUGAGAAGUACAACAGUACUUCCUGCCCAAAAAGUCCCUUGCAUAUGUAUGCUAGGAAGACAACAACUCACCAUGGAAAUGACAAACUAUUGAUUAACUGCUUCCAACGCCUUCAUGAAGUAGUAUAAGUACAAUGAGGAUGCUGCUCCUGACAAGGCCCAACUUCAGAGAAUUGUUAAUAAACCAUAAGAGAGCUUUAAGGAAUAUACAUAACGCUGGAGAGCUUUGGCAUCACAAGCCAUUCUAGAUUGGAGGAAGAAGAACAAUUCUCCUUCUUUGUGGAAAAUUUGAAGGAACCUUAUUAUGACUACUUGUUGGGAAGCGUCGCAUCCAGCUUCAACGCACUUAUCAAAGCGGGGGAGAAAAUAGAAGGGUGCAUAAGAAGUGGAAAACUAGCAGGGGAUCAGUCUAAGUCAGGUAUGGGGAAUAAGCCCAACUUUAUGAAGAAGAAAAAAGGAGAAGUAUUCGUAGUGUUCACUGAGCCGAAGGGAUAUAAGGCCCAAAACUCCAAAUACCAGGGCCCAUAUAAUGCCACACCUUCCACACAACGCUACUACAUAGCCCACAAUAACAACAACCAAACCCGCCAAAACUAUAACCAAACACAGCCCUACCAACCCCUUCAAAACUACAACCAAACACAAUCCUACCCAAAUCAGACCCAAAACCGCAAUUAUCCUAAUCCUGAAAGAAGAGGCCCACAAUUCGACCAUAUACCAAUAUCCUAUAUAGAACUAUACACUCAUCUUUUAAGGGAGAGAAUGAUAAGCCCUAUAAUAGGAAUAGUGCCCGAAUCACCUAGGGCCUGUUUAAUCUAAAUAUUACUUGUUAGUACCACUCUAGGGUCAUUGGCCACUCUAUUAAACACUAUAGGGCUCUGAAGCAUAAGGUGUAAAGCCUAAUCAAUGCAAAGCAACUACAUUUCAAGCCCACUGUGCUAGAUGUAGACAAAAAAUCCACUACCCAAUAGUAUCUUUAAAAACCUUGAUAUUUGCAAACUCCAUUCCAAUCUCCAAAUGUACAUGUUCAAAUGCACUGUUUUUAUUGAACAUGAGGUACUUAAUAAAUGCAUUCCCUGCAUUCCCUUCAUCAUUAGUGGAAACAAGAGUAUGCAUUUAUUCACUAUUAGAUGAAUAUUCUUUAUCCUCAAAAGAAACUGCAUGUUGUUGGGGUUCAUGUUGAACACCUUUAGGUUCCGUUUUAUCUGCGGUUUCAAUUUCAACAACUUCAUGUACAAGUUCAUUCACCUUAUCAGCAACCUCAGAUUCAGGGGUAACAUUUCGUUUCUUGGUGCUAACUUCUUUUUCUUUGGUGUUGAAUUUCUUUUCUUUGGUAGUGACUUCCAUUUCAUUGGUGAUGACUUCCUUUUCUUUGGUGCUAACUUCCUUUUCAUCUAUGUUGACCUCCUUUUCUUCAGGUCUGACUUCCUUUUCUUUCUGUUUCUGUUGAUACCUUCCUGAACGAGGUAACCAUCUUCAUUUACAUGUGCAAAAUCUAGUGCAAAUUCAGCUACAUUAUCAGCAGCAAGUUCAUCAAAUUCAGUUAUUGUUCAGAAGGUUGACUUAAAGGUUCAAAAGGUUGAGUUGUAGAUUCAGUUGAAGAUUUAGAAGCUUUGGCAGCAGGUUCAGAAGGUUUUUGUGCAUGAUCACAACUUCCUUCAUUCAUUGAAUAUAUUUCCGAAUCAUUACCAUCUUCAAGUUGACACACAAAUUCUGUGUAUUCCUCAUUCAACACAGGAUGUUCAAAGUACACAUGCAUCCCAUAAUCACUCAUGUCAUUCACAUUCUUGGCCUUCAAUGUUGCAGCCACCAUUUCAUUGAUAUAGUUAUCCUUCUCCAGUGCCAUUAAUUCACUCUCCAAGUAUGGAUCUUCAGGAUGUUGCCAAUACAUUGCCUGGAAAUCGGAUAACCACACUGAACAAAUAAUGCCUGCAAAUCCAUUAAGUUUACCAAAUCCACGUCCAAAGGGGGCAUUCUCUCAAUUUUUUGAUGCAUGCAUUGGAUGUUGCCAUCAGUGUCCAUGACAAACCGACCCCAUGGUGAUAAACCAAAACAAUAUAUUGAGACAUUUGCAUCAAUGUUAACGUAUUAAAUACUCGUAAUAAAUAUAACAAUUAACACAAGAAGACAAAUGUGUUAUCAAACACAAUGUCAUAGAACCAGAAUAAAAGAAUGGAUCCCAACACAACCUAAUAUACAAAUAUUAAACUACAAAGAGACUACAACAUGGAUUAAAAAACAGAAUUUGGACCACAUGCAUCAAAAAGAAAAAACACAAGGGACCACAUACCUCAAAUUCGCAGCUAUGCUUCUCUUUUAAAAUGAGAGCCAUAAACAAAAAAAAAACGUUUUAGAGUGUGAAGGGUGAACAAUGUAAGGGGCGACUUGGGUGAAGAAUGUUGGAUUUCAUAUUCUUAUUGUGAAGGGUGAAGAAUGUUUGAGGAAAGGAGGAGAUGUAGGGGUGAAGAGGAUUGACAUUUCCUCUAUGCAAAACCACGUCAUUUUGCUCUAUGCAAAACCACGUCAUUUUGCUCUAUGCAAAACCACGUCAUUUUGCUCUAUGCAAAACCACGUCAUUUUGCUAUAUGCAAAACGACAUUGUUUUGUAUAUAAAAUUAAAAAAAUAAUUUAUUUAAAAAUAUUAUUUCAACAAAAACGACGUCGUUUUGUAAGGGUGAAAUAUAAAAUAAUAAAUUUGGGUUGAUGACAUGGAAAGUUCUACACAUAGGAUCAUUCACCAUAGUCCACAUCACCAUUUAACGUGCCAUACUAACAACUUUGUUACAGUUAAUGGUGCCGAGAUGACGAAAGAACUAACAUGACUCGAUGUUGAAUUUGCUGGGGAGUAAAAUUUCACUUAAAAUUUGUCAGGGACUAAAUUGGUACCCACGAAAAAGAUGAGGGUCCAAAAUGAAUAAUUACUCUAAAAACGUUUAGACAGUUUCAUAUAAUAUUGAUGUAUGUCACCUAUAGCCCCAAUUAUAGAACUUUCUCAGAAGUAAGGAUGCAAAAAAUACCGAUAAUUGUGAGUAGCAUUCUCAGUCAUAGAAAAGAUAUAAAUAAUGAUAAUUGUGAGUACCGCAAAAAUAUUGAUAACAAUAGUUGACAUGUGGGAUAUGUAUCAUGAUGCUUACCCCAUCCAUAGGUACUAACAUAUGUAUAAUUUUGUUUUUAACUAAACAUUUUAUAUAUUGUAAUUUUUUAUUAGUUAAAUAAUAUAAAUAAUGAAUUUUAUAUUACUUUACAAUGAAUAUAUAUAAAUAUAUUACAAUGACUACCCUCUAGGUGUAUGCAUACUUGUAAUUUUUAAAAAAAAAAAAAAAAAGAUGAAUAUAAUUAAUUUAAACUUGCAUUGGUAUAAUUCACUCUUAAUUAAUUAAUUAUACAUUAUCUAGGAUAAAUUUUUCAUUUGUAAAUUUACAUUUAAAAUUUGAUUAUCUUUUUUUGCUACACGCAAAGAUUAAAAACAAGAAUAGAAGAGUAUUGUAUAGGUCCAUGUGUAGGAUAGUGAGAUCUCUUGUUUGUGGUGGAACAAAAGAAUAUAAUUUGCUUAUGAAAUCACUCUUCUAUUUUUGUGUGUAUUUAAGCAAAAUAUACAAAAUUUGAUUAGUGAUGUAUUUUGUAACGAACGAAAAAUAAUGAAGAAACAUUCAUUCUUAUACUAUAUAUAUUUGGACUUGAAUCAAUAGUAUAUUAUAUUUUGUGGAAAUCAUGUAUAAGAUUAAAUAAAAUUGUAUCAUUUCUUCUCUACGACCAUUGUCAUUACCAAAUAUAUUUUUUGUACAAUAAAUAAUGAUUCAUAAGUACUUAGAAACUCAAACUUAAAGUUAAUCUCAAUAUACUUUAUUUUGCCCUUAACACUUAAAUUAGUUGUUGCUAACGAUAUUGGGGUAGAACCAGGAAAUGAUUUAAACAAAACAAUAUUGCACAAUUCAUACAUAUUGGAUAUAACUAAAUAUAGGAUAAACAACUAGAGAUCAAAUAAAAAAUUCAUAUUUUAUAAAAAAAAUAGAUAAUAUUGUAAAUAUGUCUAAAUUAUGUAUUUUUAUAAUAAAAUGUUAUUAUUAUAAAAAAAAACAAGGAAGAAUUUAAGUUAUCUUAUUAUUCAAAUAUUUCUUUUAUUAAUAUGUUUUGAAAUUGUUUAAAAGAGUAAUAAAACGAAAGAGAACACAUUGAUUGGUCCAACAAAAGUUGGAUUUUAAUUUCUUCAUAAGUUGUAAAACUGAUUUAACUAUCAUUAUCUAGAUGAUGAGUGACACACAAUAUAAAGAGAAGUAAAACAUGGUAAAUUACUUUUUCUCAGAACUUCCCACUUCGGAACCUCACAUGUUAAAACUUUGCGGAAAUUCAAAACUUGAGUGGUAAGCGAAUUUAGAAAAUAGAUAACACACAAUACCUUCUUUUAUCAAUUUUUUACAAAAUAAGUCAAACCAGUUAAUCAUCUCGCUCAUCAUAACCUAAUGUGCAAUGGUUAAGUGUCCAAAAUAAAUGUCAGGUGUGUGAGGUAGUAGCCUCCUAAAUAUUACAUACCAUACUAAAAAAUACACAUGAACUAGAGACAUCCACAAUUACAUCAAGGUUAUCAAAAUUUAGAGGGGUCCAUAAUAUAGUCAUCCAAUAACCAACAUCUAAGAAAUCUAUGCUACGCUAGAGUUUUUAGACUUGGGCUCAUCAGGUCCUCCUCCACCUCGGUGUCGGAAUCGAUGAUGGUCACUAGGGGAUAAGGCACAAGCUCCUCCCUCGCUAUAUGCUCCUCGACAGGUGGGGUGAUAGCAUGCUCUAGGACUAGGACUGCAGCAUGUUAGAGUACCACACUGCGUUGGGGAUCAUCAUCUCCUUCUAAUCCUCCGAGUCAUUGAUCUCCUCAGUUAUCCAACCUCUCCUUCGGGCUCUAACCUCCCGCUUAGCCUGAUACGUGACGAACAGGCGGUCUGCCUCCACGACAAUAAGGUCUAGCCCGCGAUGAAUGUCCUUCUUCACUACCCGAGUGAUGAUACGGCGAGGGCUCGUCUGCCUUAGAACCGAAUGAACAAAUGCUUCAUCAUUUGAAGCAGGCGCAACUCUAGGAGAGUUGUUAGGGACAACUUACCUAAAUGAGACACAUGAAGUAACACUCGCUGUCUGGGAAAUGAUGAGGGGGUUUGGUUCAUCCCCUGGGAAAGUCACUAACAUCCGGAACUCUCAUAUGUAGCAUAAGGCAUUGACUUCACUAUCACCUCUGUGCACCCAUGACCCCUCGGGGGUCAUGUUGAACAGGAACCUGGUCCUUCUUGCUGGAAUCUAAGACUCCCCACAUCAUAAUAGUACAACCAUAAAGAAAAGAGGGAGUAAAACAUCUAAUGAAUGCACUUCAUUGAUAACGUGCAAUUACAUAGAACAUGACAUUAAGAUAACAAACGACAACAUCAAGCAUUUGAACAGAUGUAACAUGUGAAUGGUCGUGAUGCAUGAUGAUUGUAACUUGAGAUAGGGGGUAAUUGUCUUCAAGUACAAUAAACAAAUGCUAUGUAUAAUCGUCAUCCAAAUCCAUAUCAAGUCCAACCUCUCUACCUCAGAAACAAUUAGGAGUACAAGACAUUCUACCAAGCCGCAAUUUAGAUAUCAAUCACAAAAGUGUUGCACAGAGUGCAAUACCAAUAUCCUUACUGACAAUGUCAUAUAUUGUACUUUCAGAUUCUACCUCCAUAAUUAUUGAAGUGACAAGGGGAUGUUAGAGUCUACUUAGUUUCAAAUGUAGAGUUAUCCUGGUCUAACGAAUUGCAAUCACACAGACCCUCAAUGGACUAAUCCAUCUAAGUAUUCCCUCCAGGGUUCUUAUUAAAUCACCAUCAUUGUCGCCCCUGUCCAAAUCCUGGGACAUUUCUGUCACCGUCAGCUUCCUCUUAUAAUCCUAAGCUUCGAUUCGUGUGCAUAUGCUUAAUGUCAUUCACAAGUCAUGUUAAACUAUUACACAUUUCCCUUUUUAUUUUCUAUACUCAUACUCACAUUUAUUUUAAUGUCUUAGCUCAUAUGGUUUGGUGAACUUGCCGUCCAAAGGGUCAGAGUUGACAAAACUAUUUUUGAGUAUCUAAAAAGGCUACACUCAGGUAUUUUCAAACUCACAUCCUACUAUAUGAUUAUUUCAUCGCAUAUGCCCCUCACGUCUAGGGGUUCUUUUAUUUCUUAUUUACUCUCUUACCCAAGUUAUAUAUAUAUAUAUAUAUAUAUAUAUAUAUAUAUAGUAUUGUCCUCCCGCCAUGCCGACAAUGUUACAUUUGAAAAGUGGGAUUUCCAUCUGAUUGCAAUUUAACAGUUGAUCAUAAAUCGUUUGCAUGUUAUAAACAUAUACGCAUAUUCAAGGUGCAUACCAUAUUAUUAAUUAGAUAUAUCACCAUCACAUCCAUUUCAGAUACAAAAUGCAAUAAAUUGUACAUAGGUAAAAUAGAGACAUCGUAUAAAUAUGAUCGGGCUAGGAAUUUAUAUAUGGGUUAGUCCAAACAACACACCAUUGAUUAACCCAUAUGAAUUCCGAACUAUCAUGCCCUCUAAACUGUGAGUACAUUUUGAGACCCUUAUAUCAUAUUCUAAAACCACUGUGUCACGAUGCUUCUCCCUCACCUUAAAGUGUCGAUGUAGUCCUUAAGCUUAUGAUCUGUCUGUUCUCUCGUUCGUACAAUGUUUCACUCCGUCUUUUAUAUCCUCACAUGAAAAACCAAUUUUUAUGUUAAAACAAUGUUGUUAUGCUAACAUGUUGUUAGCCAUGUUUUAUGGACUUAGGCGAUAUCUUAGCUUCUAGUUAUAGGUACUUAUGAAAAGUUAAUUAAUUUACAAAGCAAUUCCAUUUUAUAAAAUGACAUAGGGUUUUGACCAAACUAAUGAAAUGUCCAGAAUAUCAUAAACAUUCCUUAUAAAAAAAAUGAGGUCCUUACUAUGAAAAUUACAAAAAUACCCUUUAUAGGGACUGCUUCCAUAAGUUUAACCCAAACUAUCUGAAUUAUACUACAACCAUCGUUUUGGUUCGUGAAAUUGAAAAGUUCCAAAUAUAGACUACCCUUGAAAUAGUCUUAAGAGUUCAUAUAUAAUUUUUCAGAUUUUUCCAUUGAGUGUUACGAUUUUUAAGGCUAAUAUCACAAUAACAGUACCAUACAUUAAAAAAGGCAAAAUAACACUAUAGGUAUCUAAAUAUGCUUCAAAAUGAAACUUCAGGAGCAUAAACUCAUAUUUAUUUUUUAUAAAAGGUUCAUAUCCAAAAUCUAUCACCAUGAUGUUCUGUUAUCGAUUUAAUAGGAUUUGUGGUGUUUUUCCAUGAAAAUGAAAGAAUAAAGAAGGAAGUACAAAAAAUAAACCUUUUUUUAUCAACCUACCAUCAUCUUUUUAGGUUGCUGAAACUCUUAAGUUUUAAGUUCCAGAACCUACAUAGCUUCCUUCAUUUUUUCUAAAAUUCUAUUACUCAUUAAAAGCAUAAAAAAAUACAUUUUAACACUAAAAAUCACUUCUACUUACUUCCCUCUUUAGAUCCAACUUUGUCACUUCCAAAGGUGAAUUCUUUUUCCAGAACUAAAAGUCAUGGGGAAGACUCAAAAUUUAAUUGAACUACUAAAUUAUUUUAAGGUGCUUUUUAAAACAUUUAAGCAACUAAAUACAAGCUUUUAAGCUUCACAAAGCCAUUUAAGCAUGUCCCUAUGUUCCUCUCUCUUUAUCAACUUUAAGAGUGACUUAUAAGAGAUUCACAAUCAUGGGGUUUUACAAAUAUUUCACCUUUUAAAACAAAUGUGUGUUCUUGAAUGUAAGAGUACUUUAAGCAUAGUUUUUGCACAUCACAACUAUAAAACAACCAUACUUAAAACUCUUGGAAAAAAAAUGAACACCUUCCAACUAGUGGUAGGAUUUGGUUUUGACAAAAGCACAAGAAGAGGAAUAGUUGUUCAUGGAACUCUUGACUUAUCCUAGCUUACAAAGCUCACCAAGUUCUAAGUUCUUCAAGCUACCUCAACAUUUCCAUUAAACUACUCUAACCUCUUUUUAAAGCAUAAACGUGAAGAAUAUACAUAAAACAAUUAUUAAAAGAGAUGUAUGAGAUAGUAAAUAAGCUAAAGGUUCCAAAUAUGUAGUUACCUAAUGAAAAAGCCAAGAUCUUGAAGAGUUUUGUGUGAGUUGGAGUUGCAAAACCCCCUUCCUCACCCACUCAAGAAGCCACAUAGUUUGGAGAGAAUGAAGAGAGGGAUGAGAGCUUCUCUCUCUUCUUUGGUUGAAUGUGUGUAUGUGGGAAAUGUGAGUACCUUUAUGUUGUAUGCCUUAAU
rnacentral:lncRNA from 1 species